AUGAACGAACAAUUUUGUGUCCCCAUUCCCCAGCAACAUGAACUCCUCUUCUAUCAAUGCAUUUUUACUGUCUUCUAUUCUUUUCUAAAGCCUGGACGACUUCUAUUUUAUCCUUUUAAGUGGUUUCCUCCCUCACAUUGGUUAUUAUUAACUAUUUACCAUUCACAGAAAGUACCUUUGGAAGUAAUUUCUCCCUCUAACACCACCCACCUUCCAUCUCUAAAGCGAUGCGGGUGGAGAAGGCAGUCAGAAAGGGUCACCAGGCAUCGGAGAGCUCUCCUUAGCUUCAAAUGUCAAAACGCAGGUGAUGAGGAAGAGCCAGGAGAGAGGCCGUUCUUGAUCACAAGCCCGUGUCAAUUCCACAGCACUCUGUCUGCGCACUCUGUCUGCAUGCUACCCAAAGUGUCAAACCUCUUCCUGUGGCUCAUCAGCUAAAAUUAAACACGGGGGAGACACAAGGGCUCGCAGUCCUACAUUCCUCGGGGACUGGGCCUGCCUACCACAAAGAGGCAGCUGACACACAGUGGAAAAAACUUAGAUUCACAGAUAGCGUUAACCAUUAAACAUCAUAAACUCAUCAAGAACAGGAAUUGGGAUGAAUUCAUCCUGCUACUUAGCAAAUCAAUAAAUGUUGAGCUAAAGAUGUGAGGAGGGGGUGCUGGCAAUACAAUGCCACAGUAUUCACAAUCUGCAACUGAGACGCGCCCGCAGCCCAAGACAUGAUUUUUAGAUGAUCAUCCUGCAGAAAAGCAAGGACGAAACGGGAGAGGGGCAAGAUUGGAGACAAGAAGACAAAGGGACUUUUUAAAACACCAAGCAAGCAAGAGAAAGAACCUAAGUUUGAACAAUGACAGCAAAGAUUGAGGAUGGAAAUGAUACUUUGCUGUAUAUUUAUUCAGAAACAUUCUAGAGAUAAGAUUGGAAAACUCAGUAAGUAAUGGAAUUAAAUGAGGACAGCAG
rnacentral:lncRNA from 1 species